rnacentral:rRNA from 1 species
UACAGAGGGUGCGAGCGUUAAUCGGAAUUACUGGGCGUAAAGCGCACGUAGGUGGCGACGUAAGUCGGGUGUGAAAGCCCCGGGCUCAACCUGGGAAUUGCAUUCGAGACUGCAUUGCUGGAGUACGGAAGAGGAAGGCGGAAUUCCCGGUGUAGCGGUGAAAUGCGUAGAUAUCUGGAGGAACACCGGUGGCGAAGGCGACGUCCUGGACCGGUAUUGACGCUGAGGCGCGAAAGCCAGGGGAGCAAACGGG